rnacentral:rRNA from 1 species
UCCGUAGGCGGGCUAAUAAGUCAGGGGUGAAAUCCCACAGCUUAACUGUGGAACUGCCUUUGAUACUGUUAGUCUUGAGUUAUAUGGAAGUAGAUAGAAUGUGUAGUGUAGCGGUGAAAUGCAUAGAUAUUACACAGAAUACAGAUUGCGAAGGCAGUCUACUACGUAUAUACUGACGCUAAUGGACGAAAGCGUGGGGAGCGAACAGGAUUAGAUACCCUGGUAGUCC